rnacentral:rRNA from 1 species
GUCGAGCUACUACGGUAGUGAAGUCAUUGAUGCCAUGCUUCCAGGAAAAGCCUCUAAGCUUCAGAUUAUAAGCAAUCGUACCCCAAACCGACACAGGUGGUCGGGUAGAGAAUACCAAGGCGCUUGAGAGAACUCGGGUGAAGGAACUAGGCAAAAUGGUACCGUAACUUCGGGAGAAGGUACGCUCUUGGCGGUGAAGUCCCUUGCGGAUGGAGCUACUGAGAGUCGCAGAUACCAGGUGGCUGCAACUGUUUAUUAAAAACACAGCACUGUGCAAAAUCGUAAGAUGACGUAUACGGUGUGACGCCUGCCCGGUGCCGGAAGGUUAAUUGAUGGGGUUAGACUUCGGUCGAAGCUCUUGAUCGAAGCCCCGGUAAACGGCGGCCGUAACUAUAACGGUCCUAAGGUAGCGAAAUUCCUUGUCGGGUAAGUUCCGACCUGCACGAAUGGCGUAAUGAUGGCCACGCUGUCUCCACCCGAGACUCAGUGAAAUUGAAAUCGCUGUGAAGAUGCAGUGUACCCGCGGCUAGACGGAAAGACCCCGUGAACCUUUACUACAGCUUGGCACUGAACAUUGAACCUACAUGUGUAGGAUAGGUGGGAGACUUAGAAGCGCAGUCGCUAGAUUGCGUGGAGUCGUCCUUGAAAUACCACCCUUGUAGUUUUGAUGUUCUAACGUUGGCCCCUAAUCGGGGUUGCGGACAGUGCCUGGUGGGUAGUUUGACUGGGGCGGUCUCCUCCCAAAGAGUAACGGAGGAGCACGAAGGUGGGCUAAACACGGUUGGACAUCGUGUGGUUAGUGCAAUGGCAUAAGCCCGCUUAACUGCGAGAAUGACAAUUCGAGCAGGUACGAAAGUAGGUCAUAGUGAUCCGGUGGUUCUGAAUGGAAGGGCCAUCGCUCAACGGAUAAAAGGUACUCCGGGGAUAACAGGCUGAUACCGCCCAAGAGUUCAUAUCGACGGCGGUGUUUGGCACCUCGAUGUCGGCUCAUCACAUCCUGGGGCUGAAGUCGGUCCCAAGGGUAUGGCUGUUCGCCAUUUAAAGUGGUACGCGAGCUGGGUUUAGAACGUCGUGAGACAGUUCGGUCCCUAUCUGCCGUGGGCGUUGGAAGAUUGAAGGGGGCUGCUCCUAGUACGAGAGGACCGGAGUGGACGAACCUCUGGUGUUCGGGUUGUUACGCCAGUAGCAUUGCCCGGUAGCUAAGUUCGGAAUCGAUAACCGCUGAAAGCAUCUAAGCGGGAAGCGAGCCCUGAGAUGAGUCUUCCCUGGCACUUUAAGUGUCCUAAAGGGUUGUUCGAGACUAGAACGUUGAUAGGUUGGGUGUGUAAGCGCUGCGAGGCGUUGAGCUAACCAAUACUAAUUGCCCGUGAGGCUUAACCAU